rnacentral:snRNA from 1 species
AAAUUAGAGGCUGAUGUGGCUGUGGCAUCUGUCGCCCCAUUGAUCACUGACUGGGGUUGAUGCGGCUGACCUGGCUGGCUAGGCUGGUGCCCCCUUCCUCCCUCAGCGUUCCAUGUGCGCCCCUCCGGAACAAAAUAAUGCGCUAAAAGAGGACGCAUGCACGGACAGGUCUUCUGAGUCUUAUGAGUAGCUGUGUUCCCCUGCUAGAACCUCCAAACAAGUUCUCAAGACUUUGCAGAUUAGGCCAGUGGUAGCGCACCUGGUUGAGUGAACAUCUUACAAUGCGGGAGGUUCGAG